GAUUGGCCCCAAAAAUGGAUUGGACUAGAACUGCAGUUUAAAGUAUCUGCAGAACAGCCUCUAAAAGUCCAUUUCCGUCCUUAUCAUGCAUUGGACUACAUAGAAUUGCCUUGAAAGAAUCAGAAAUCUGUGCCCUGAGAGAAUCAGAAAUCUGGAUGAGACUCAUCUACUUCUGAAACCAUGUGGGGUCUGAUUAUGUAACCAUUACAUAAUUCACAAACUCAACAUCAGAAUCUUGGUUUGGAGUAUAGACAAGAGAGUGUGGUAAACUGAAAAGAACAUAUAUAUGCCAAGUCUUUUCUUAUCGUUAGUGUUGAAAAUAUUUCCAUAUGUAGAUACAAAGCCAUGUGGAAACUCUUUGGUAAUUUUAUUAAUCUAUCAUUUGCAAAUUAUUCACACAAUGUGAUACAAUAUAACUGCAAUGCAAUAAAGAAAAUGGGGCUUAAACAUUUUUUUUUAUGUUUAUUCA